CAACUUCGAAACGCAUAAAAAAGUCAAUCAGGAAAACCGGUCGUCGACAAAGGAAAUAAAUUUCAGUGGAUGAGGAAAUUCUGUCUUUUUCUCUCUUCACGUAACUCAGACGUAGUAUUGAAUCGACUUUGUCACCGAAUUUUUUAGAUUCACAGAAGAAGAAUGUCUGUCUCGAAAUUUUAUGAAAAUCGUGAAAUAUUUGUAACAGGAGCAACUGGUUCAUUGGGAAAGGUGCUUUUAGAGAAAUUGCUAAGAUCUUGCAAUGCUCGAAAGAUUUACGUUUUAAUUAGAC